AGAACGAACGCUGGCGGCAUGCCUAAUACAUGCAAGUCGAACGAACACUUCGGUGUUAGUGGCGCACGGGUGCGUAACGCGUGGGAAUCUGCCCUUGGGUUCGGAAUAACAGUUGGAAACGACUGCUAAUACCGGAUGAUAUCGAAAGAUCAAAGAUUUAUCGCCCAGGGAUGAGCCCGCGUAGGAUUAGCUAGUUGGUGAGGUAAGGCUCGACCAAGGCGACGACUCCUUAGCUGGUCUGAGAGGAUGAUCACGCCACACGUGGGACUGGAGACCACCGGCCCAGACCU
rnacentral:rRNA from 1 species